CAGUCACUGGCUAUGGGGCCACCUGGGAGGGGUGUGUGAAUUCCCAGGCACUUGCAUCUCUGCAGGAGUGCAAGGGCGGGCCCCUGAAGUAGGUUUAAGUGAUCGCUCUUGGAGGUGAAGCAUAACGAAGCUGGGGGAGCAACAAGAAAUACCUUCAUCUUUUUAGAGAAGAGUGAAAUUGAAGCCAGAGAGGUUGGUUAACUUGCCCAAGAUCACAAAGCUUCCAAGAUGAAGAGCUGGGAUUUCAUUUCAGGUUUCCCAUCUGGCAACAUCCAAGCCCUUUCCAUAAUUCCACACUGUGAAUUUGCUUCCCAAACCAAGAGUGGGAUACAAUUAGCUGGGGAGUGCAACUCAUCCCUCAAUCACUGAUCUGAGUAUGGAUAUCAAAAGAAACAUUUCCUGAAGCAAGACGCUGAGCUGGAAGCUUCCACGGUUGUGCCUAUACUGUGGCAGUCCUGCGCGAACCUGUCCGGCCCCAUGGAAACCUGCAGGGCUGAGGUCUCCCAGGGCAAAUGGGGCUGCAGGAUGCUCACUACACCCCCAGAAACAGGAGAAGGGACAAGGACACAGGACUGUCUGGUUCUGAGAGGCCUGGCCUCUGCUUCCUCCGCCCAUCCAAUAAGUACCACCUGUCUGUUGAGGGGCUCAGUGGCUUCAAGGUUUCAACCCUGGCUACAUCAUGGAACCAUCUGGGGAGCUUUCCAAGUACUGAUGCCUGAACCUUAGUCACAGAUUAAUGGAAACCUGAGGAAUGGGGACCCAUGACCUGGAGUCUGUAAGGCUUCCCCAUUGAUGUGAUGCUUGGUGAAAUCUGUUUGGGUGAGUACAUUCAGUGGCCACUUGCCAUGACUUUUCCUGUCUCUAUAGCUACAUCUGGGUCCCUGGAUCCCUGCAACUAGAUUUAAGCUGGAGGAAGAAGUUUCCAUUUUGGCCUUGAGCCUAAGCCUAGUUUUUCAAACCUGCUUUUGGCAGAACAGUGCAAUGAGGCAUGAGAGUUUUGCCAAUAUACUAAUAAAGCCGUGCUCUCCCUCCCAUCUGCCGCACGAUCCCUGUGGGCCUGCUCUACUGUCCUGGACCUGGAGGAGAAGGGGAGCAUGUGGGAGCAACUGGGAGCCACGACUCCCUGGCAAACAACAUUGGGGACUUUCAACACCAUUUUAAAAAUAGAGUCACUUAUUUCAGUAUAUCUCGGCCAGUUCAGCAAAUGACUUUAGGUGGCUUACACUGUAAAUAUAGAAAACAAAAUGAGGAUAAAAAUAAGAAUAGAGAUUUUGGACCAAGGAAUUAUAAUGUCAAGUAGAGAGCAAGGCAAUUAAAAAAAAAAAAAAAGAGCAGAAGAGUGCAGAUCAAAAACAAAGCAGGCAGUGUAUAUACUGAGAUACUUCAACCUGUUAAGAGUAAUUGGGCAUUGCUUGAUUCAAUAACACACAUUUUGAGUGUAAGAACUAGACGUUAUUCCCAUUUGACAGAUGAUGAAACUGAGACUUAACAGAUUGUCUGAGGCCUGGCAGCUAGUGACCCCAGAGUCACAUUCAGGCUGCCUGUGGUGGGGCCUUUGUUCCUACAGCACCUCAUGACCUCGCUAAAGUGGUUUAGCCCUGAGCUUCCAUUCAACCAGAGGGAAGAAGACUGACACAGCCAGACACAAACAUAUUCAUUAUCAGAAAGUAUGAAGCAUUCUAGUUCCCCAGGAAAAGCAGUAUUUCCCUCAAUCACUCAAU
rnacentral:lncRNA from 1 species